AUUGAACGCUGGCGGCAGGCCUAACACAUGCAAGUCGAACGAGUGGCGGACGGGUGAGUAAUGUCUGGGAACCUGCCUGAUGGAGGGGGAUAACUACUGGAAACGGUAGCUAAUACCGCAUACCAUCGGAUGUGCCCAGAUGGGAUUAGCUAGUAGGUGGGGUAAAGGCUCACCUAGGCGACGAUCCCUAGCUGGUCUGAGAGGAUGACCAGCCACACUGGAACUGAGACACGGUACAGACUCCUACGAGAGGCAGCAGUGGGGAAUAUUGGACAAUGGACGCAAGCCUGAUGCAGCCAUGCCGCGUGUAUGAAGAAGGCCUUCGGGUUGUAAAGUACUUUCAGCGGGGAAGCGGUAUCUAAAGAGGAAGCACCGGCUAACUCCGUGCCAGCAGCCGCGGUAAUUC
rnacentral:rRNA from 1 species